UACGAAGGGGGCUAGCGUUGUUCGGAAUCACUGGGCGUAAAGCGCACGUAGGCGGACUUUUAAGUCAGGGGUGAAAUCCCGGGGCUCAACCUCGGAACUGCCUUCAAUACUGCCAGUCUUGAGUUCGGAAGAGGUGAGUGGAAUUCCUAGUGUAGAGGUGAAAUUCAUAGAUAUUAGGAAGAACACCAGUGGCGAAGGCGGCUCACUGGUCCGAUACUGACGCUGAGGUGCGAAAGCGUGGGGAGCGAACAGGAUUAGAUACCCGGUAGUC
rnacentral:rRNA from 1 species